CACGUGUUCAGUUCAUUCUCUUCCCUUUCUUGCAUUGUAGCGGAUAGCAUGAACGGUAUCAGCAUGAGUUUAGGUUGGUCAUCUGAACCCCCUGGCUAAUCUAAAUCGAAUCACUUACUAUAAUGUCCUUAUUACGAAGACUCCCACGUGGUUAAUGACUUGAGGUCAUAGUCAAACUGUAGUCUAGUCAUCCUCAGACCAUCACCUUGUAACAACUGGCAGUGAAACUGAGGACUGCAGUCAUUUGUUUAGGUUUACCAUUGGGACAUGUACAUUCUGUAAUCGGGAUGCCUUGGCAGAUGACCGUGCAAAAUGUAAUACUUUCAAGUUGUGAAAAGGUAAACAAAAAGUGAGGACUGCAGUAACUUGUUCAGAUUCUAUUGAUGCGUUUACCAUCGGGACAUGUACUUUGAGUGAUUUGGAUGCCUUGGUGGAUGACUGCAAACUCUAAUCCUUUAAAGUAGUAAAAGGUUAAGAAAGAACUAGGACUCAAGUCAAAUUUAUAGCUACUACUGAUGGCCUUACUUCUGGGACGCGUGCAUUUAGUGAACAUGGUUUCAGCAACAAGAUGUAAUUGCUUUUUCCAGGUUUGGUUACCCUCUAAAAUAAGUUGAAUAUUUUAUUUUAAAUCAUAUUUAUGAUGUGUAUUGUCUGUUACCAAUAAAAAAUUGACCCUA